rnacentral:rRNA from 1 species
ACAUGGCUCAGGACGAACGCUGGCGGCGUGCCUAAUACAUGCAAGUCGAACGAACUCUGGUAUUGAUUGGUGCUUGCAUCAUGAUUUACAUUUGAGUGAGUGGCGAACUGGUGAGUAACACGUGGGAAACCUGCCCAGAAGCGGGGGAUAACACCUGGAAACAGAUGCUAAUACCGCAUAACAACUUGGACCGCAUGGUCCGAGUUUGAAAGAUGGCUUCGGCUAUCACUUUUGGAUGGUCCCGCGGCGUAUUAGCUAGAUGGUGGGGUAACGGCUCACCAUGGCAAUGAUACGUAGCCGACCUGAGAGGGUAAUCGGCCACAUUGGGACUGAGACACGGCCCAAACUCCUACGGGAGGCAGCAGUAGGGAAUCUUCCACAAUGGACGAAAGUCUGAUGGAGCAACGCCGCGUGAGUGAAGAAGGGUUUCGGCUCGUAAAACUCUGUUGUUAAAGAAGAACAUAUCUGAGAGUAACUGUUCAGGUAUUGACGGUAUUUAACCAGAAAGCCACGGCUAACUACGUGCCAGCAGCCGCGGUAAUACGUAGGUGGCAAGCGUUGUCCGGAUUUAUUGGGCGUAAAGCGAGCGCAGGCGGUUUUUUAAGUCUGAUGUGAAAGCCUUCGGCUCAACCGAAGAAGUGCAUCGGAAACUGGGAAACUUGAGUGCAGAAGAGGACAGUGGAACUCCAUGUGUAGCGGUGAAAUGCGUAGAUAUAUGGAAGAACACCAGUGGCGAAGGCGGCUGUCUGGUCUGUAACUGACGCUGAGGCUCGAAAGUAUGGGUAGCAAACAGGAUUAGAUACCCUGGUAGUCCAUACCGUAAACGAUGAAUGCUAAGUGUUGGAGGGUUUCCGCCCUUCAGUGCUGCAGCUAACGCAUUAAGCAUUCCGCCUGGGGAGUACGGCCGCAAGGCUGAAACUCAAAGGAAUUGACGGGGGCCCGCACAAGCGGUGGAGCAUGUGGUUUAAUUCGAAGCUACGCGAAGAACCUUACCAGGUCUUGACAUACUAUGCAAAUCUAAGAGAUUAGACGUUCCCUUCGGGGACAUGGAUACAGGUGGUGCAUGGUUGUCGUCAGCUCGUGUCGUGAGAUGUUGGGUUAAGUCCCGCAACGAGCGCAACCCUUAUUAUCAGUUGCCAGCAUUAAGUUGGGCACUCUGGUGAGACUGCCGGUGACAAACCGGAGGAAGGUGGGGAUGACGUCAAAUCAUCAUGCCCCUUAUGACCUGGGCUACACACGUGCUACAAUGGAUGGUACAACGAGUUGCGAACUCGCGAGAGUAAGCUAAUCUCUUAAAGCCAUUCUCAGUUCGGAUUGUAGGCUGCAACUCGCCUACAUGAAGUCGGAAUCGCUAGUAAUCGCGGAUCAGCAUGCCGCGGUGAAUACGUUCCCGGGCCUUGUACACACCGCCCGUCACACCAUGAGAGUUUGUAACACCCAAA